CAAUGGGUGUACGUGAAGACAAGCAGCCAAUCAAUGAUGGGUGCGAUCGCAAGCAGCCAAUGAAACCAGAAAACUUGCGCGAUCGGCUCUCCCGUGAGCUUGAGCGUAAUUUGGCUAUGAGAGUUGAUGAUGGAGAAACAGCGUAUACAUUCGUUGUUAGUGGUCGUGGUACUUUACAUAUCACCAUGCAUACUGAUAGAAAACAUGCGAGUUAUUAACAAAAAGGUGGAUGACAAGCUGCUGGAACCGUAUGAUCGAG